GUGACUCUGUUCAACGGCCGCGGUAUCCUAACCGUGCGAAGGUAGCGUAAUCACUUGUUCUUUAAAUGCGGACUAGUAUGAAUGGCACUACGAGGGUUAUACUGUCUCCUUUUUCUAAUCAGUGAAACUAAUUUUCCCGUGAAGAAGCGGGGAUAUAACUAUAAGACGAGAAGACCCUAUGGAGCUUUAAACAACCCAGCAAUUACUUCUAAAAUUAUAAAUUUCAGAAUAUCCACUUUUUAAGUUAUAUGUCUGCAAGUUUUUGGUUGGGGUGACCAUGGAGUAUAACAUAACCUCCAUAUUGAAUGAAUUCCCUUCUAAGCUAAAAAUUACCAAUUGAAGCAUCAACAUACUGACAUCUAUUGACCCAAUAUAUUUGAUCAACGAACCAAGUUACCCUAGGGAUAACAGCGCAAUCCACUUCAAGAGCCCCUAUCGACAAGUGGGUUUACGACCUCGAUGUUGGAUCAGGGUAUCCCAGUGGCGCAGCC
rnacentral:rRNA from 1 species